UACAGCCAUACCAUGCUGAAUAUACCUGUUCUCGUUCGAUCACCAAAGUCAAGCAUCAUCAGGCGCGAUCAGCACUUGGGAGGGGUGACCACUUGGGAACCGUGCAUGCUGU